AACCCAUGUUGGGAACAUUUUCGUAGGCCUUCCUUGAACCUUUCCCAUGUCUCGAAUAGAGACUCCAAUUCCAUUUGCACAAAAGACGAGAUCUCAUUUCUAACCUU